UACGUAGGGGGCAAGCGUUGUCCGGAUUUAUUGGGCGUAAAGAGCGUGUAGGCGGCUUGACAGGUCUGCUGUGAAAACUCGAGGCUCAACCUCGAGAUGUCGGCGGAAACCGUCUGGCUAGAGUCCGGAAGAGGAGAGUGGAAUUCCUGGUGUAGCGGUGAAAUGCGCAGAUAUCAGGAGGAACACCAAUGGCGAAGGCAGCUCGCUGGGACGUGACUGACGCUGAGACGCGAAAGCGUGGGGAGCAAACAGG
rnacentral:rRNA from 1 species